rnacentral:rRNA from 1 species
GACAGAGGUGCCAAGCGUUAGGCGGAAUCACUGGGCUUAAAGCGUGUGUAGGCGGAUUGGUAAGUACCUUGUGAAAUCCCACGGCUUAACCGUGGAACUGCUUGGUAUACUGCUUAUCUUGGGCCACUUAGGGGCUACCGGAACAAACGGUGGAGCGGUGAAAUGCGUAGAUAUCGUUUGGAACGCCAAUGGUGAAAACAGGUAGCUGGGAGUGUGCCGACGCUGAGACACGAAAGCCAGGGGAGCGAACGGG